CAGAGUGACGAUCGGAGGGGCGGGGAAGAUGUUGUGUAUGGAAGGAGAUGUAAAUAACCAUCGAAAGGUGGGAGAGUGUCGCAGUAAAUAAAAAAACACUUUUCAAGAUGGCCGAAAACCUUCUGGAGAAAAUUGACAGCUUCAUCACGUAAAGACCUGCGAGGGCCAUCAGGAUCAUUAUAUCUUUCAAUGACAUCACCUUUUAUUCUUCUGAUCUGCGUAAAAUAAGCUCCUUAUCCCAGGAAUGAUGUAAAUGAACUGUCUGAAAUGCCUCUCAUGCAAUUGCAUAUUUUUCAAAUAAUGGAGACUAAAUGUGUAUUCCAGAUGUGAUCUAAUAGAGGCUCUGUACAGCUACAGUAAAAUUGUACACCUGUAUAUGCUGCAGUAAACCCCAGCAUUCCAUUUGCCUUCCUAAUCUUUUGCUAAGCCUAAUUAUUAACACUUUGUGAUCAAAUAUGUCUAGAUCCCUCUGUAUCAAAUGCUGCACUCUCCCUCCAUUUUGAAAUAGUAUACUGCUGUUUAAUUCUUCCUGUCAAAGUAGACAAGUUCACAAGUUCCACUUUAUUUUUCAUCUGCCAAAUCUUUCCAUGCUUUUAACGUUUCUAUAUCUCUUGUUUUCUUGUUUUCUUGUUUUCUAGUUUUCUAUCUGUCUUGGUGUCAUCAGUAAAGCUAUCAUAUAUUAAUUUCCCUCAACCCUGAUACUGCUUAUCAAUAGCUGUGGCCUCAGCAUGGAUCUCAUUUUUAUGGCAGGGUUACUUGUCCUUAAGAAUCUGACUUGCAUUAAAGGAGAUGAGUGACUCACAA